GAACAACGACAAAAGUGAUUUUAAGACGAGCUACGGAGAACGUGAAAGUGGCUAAGCUAACCGCAUUAGCAAUCCGGCUGCUAGCGUAGCGUCACACGAGGGUAAGCGGAGUUCCAACAGAUUGCUCAUCUAAAAUAUCCACGACACUUC